AGGUAAGCUACUAAGAGCGAAUGGUGGAUGCCUUGACUGGUAAAGGCGAUGAAGGACGUACUAGACUGCGAUAAGCUACGGGGAGCUGUCAAGAAGCUUUGAUCCGUAGAUUUCCGAAUGGGGCAACCCAAUGUAUAGAGAUAUACAUUACCUAUAUAGGAGCGAACGAGGGGAAUUGAAACAUCUUAGUACCCUCAGGAAAAGAAAUCAAUAGAGAUUGCGUCAGUAGCGGCGAGCGAAAGCGCAAGAGGGCAAACCCAGUGCUUGCACUGGGGGUUGUAGGACUGCAAUGUGCAAGAGGUGAGUUUAGCAGAACAUUCUGGAAAGUAUAGCCAUAGAGGGUGAUAGUCCCGUAUGCGAAAAACAAACCUUAGCUAGCAGUAUCCUGAGUAGGGCGGGACACGAGAAAUCCUGUCUGAAGCUGGGUCGACCACGAUCCAACCCUAAAUACUAAUACCAGAUCGAUAGUGCACAAGUACCGUGAGGGAAAGGUGAAAAGAACUGAGGUGAUCAGAGUGAAAUAGAACCUGAAACCAUUUGCUUACAAUCAUUCAGAGCCCUAUGUAGCAAUACAGGGUGAUGGACUGCCUUUUGCAUAAUGAGCCUGCGAGUUGUGGUGUCUGGCAAGGUUAAGCAAACGCGAAGCCGUAGCGAAAGCGAGUCUGAAUAGGGCGCUUAGUCAGAUGCUGCAGACCCGAAACGAAGUGAUCUAUCCAUGAGCAAGUUGAAGCUAGUGUAAGAACUAGUGGAGGACUGAACCCAUAGGCGUUGAAAAGCCCCGGGAUGACUUGUGGAUAGGGGUGAAAGGCCAAUCAAACUUCGUGAUAGCUGGUUCUCUCCGAAAUAUAUUUAGGUAUAGCGUUGUGUCGUAAUAUAAGGGGGUAGAGCACUGAAUGGGCUAGGGCAUACACCAAUGUACCAAACCCUAUCAAACUCCGAAUACCUUAUAUGUAAUCACAGCAGUCAGGCGGCGAGUGAUAAAAUCCGUCGUCAAGAGGGAAACAACCCAGACUACCAGCUAAGGUCCCUAAAUCUUACUUAAGUGGAAAACGAUGUGAAGUUACUUAAACAACCAGGAGGUUGGCUUAGAAGCAGCCAUCCUUUAAAGAAAGCGUAAUAGCUCACUGGUCUAGUGAUUUUGCGCGGAAAAUAUAACGGGGCUAAAGUAAGUACCGAAGCUGUAGACUUGCGCACAACUUAGAUUAUUUAAGUUUAGAAUAUGAGAAACUAAGUUAUAUGUUUAGUUAUAUUUUUACUGAUUUUUAUAGAG
rnacentral:rRNA from 1 species